rnacentral:rRNA from 1 species
AUUGAACGCUGGCGGCAUGCUUUACACAUGCAAGUCGAACGGCAGCGCGGGCUUCGGCCUGGCGGCGAGUGGCGAACGGGUGAGUAAUGCAUCGGAACGUGCCCAGUAGUGGGGGAUAGCCCGGCGAAAGCCGGAUUAAUACCGCAUACGACCUGAGGGUGAAAGCGGGGGACCGAACGGCUCCGCGCUUUGGGAGCGGCCGAUGUCGGAUUAGCUAGUUGGGGGGGUAAAGGCUUACCAAGGCGACGAUCCGUAGCUGGUCUGAGAGGACGACCAGCCACACUGGGACUGAGACACGGCCCAGACUCCUACGGGAGGCAGCAGUGGGGAAUUUUGGACAAUGGGGGCAACCCUGAUCCAGCCAUGCCGCGUGCGGGAAGAAGGCCUUCGGGUUGUAAACCGCUUUUGUUCGGGAAGAAAUCCUCUGGGCUAAUACCCCGGGGGGAUGACGGUACCGGAAGAAUAAGCACCGGCUAACUACGUG